GUCACCAGCGCUUCGGAAUGCCUAAUAAUUUUAUCAAUACAAUAAUAUUUUCGUUCACUACGUUUCUCUAUUCUUGUUGUAACCAUUUGAGUGGUAAGAAACCAAAUACAAUUAUUAUGUUAUCAGUGCCUACAGAUACAAAAAGACGAGCACCAUCAGUCUCUCUUUGGAUGUCAAAGAGAUAAAACGCCAUCUCUACAGAAACGGCGCAAACUACUCGACAACUUGCCGAGAGUCGAGCGAUAAGACGACAACAUACCAAUUACCGACGAGUCGGUCAAUAAGUCGAUAACUAGUUUCAGCUGCUCUUCGAUAGAUGGCGGCAUAGUUCUGAUGUUUCGGAAAACGAUUUAUUUGUACACCUAAGCUACUUUGUAUUUUUAUUUCUGUAAACUUUUAUAUGUUCACAAUAAAGAGACACACAUA